rnacentral:pre_miRNA from 1 species
GGGGGGUAGCGCCGGAUCCUCGGCUGUGUUCCGCGGUGCCCUUGGCUCCAGGGCCUGCGCUGCUGGAAUCACUCUCCCGGGCUGGGCAGCCCCCU